GACGAACGCUGGCGGCGUGCCUAAUACAUGCAAGUCGAACGCAGUGGGGCCGGGUGAGUAACACGUUGGUAACCUCCCAUCACAGGGGAUAACACUUGGCAACAGGUGCUAAACCGAUACUGAUGGAUGAACCCGUGGUGCAUUAGCUAGUUGGUGAGGUAACGGCUCACCAAGGCCACGAUGCAUAGCCGGCCUGAGAGGGUGAUCGGCCACACUGGGACUGAGACACGGCCCAGACUCCUACGGGAGGCAGCAGUAGGGAAUCUUCGGCAAUGGACGAAAGUCUGACCGAGCAACGCCGCGUGAGUGAAGAAGGUUUUCGGAUCGUAAAACUCUGUUGUUAGAGAAGCGGUAUCUAACAAAAAAGCCACGGCUAACUACGUGCCAGCAGCCGCGGUAAUUC
rnacentral:rRNA from 1 species